CCCUUAGAUGUUCUGGGCUGCACGCGCGCUACACUGAUGCGAUCAACAAGUUUUUCCUAUGUCGAUAGACACGGGUAAUCUUUUGAACUCGCAUCGUGAUGGGGAUAGAUUAUUGUAAUUAUUAAUCUUCAACGAGGAAUUCCUAGUAAGUGCAAAUCAUCAGUUUGCAUCGAUUACGUCCCUGCCCUUUGUACACACCGCCCGUCGCUGCUACCGAUUGGUUGAUCUGGUGAAUUAUUCGGACUGCCGGCUGAAGGGGUUUCCUCAUCUGCCAGCGGAAAGUCUUGUUAACCCUAUCAACUAGAGGAAGCAGAAGUCGUAACA
rnacentral:rRNA from 1 species